GACGAACCGUGCGAACGUUGUUCGGAUUCACUGGGCUUAAAGGGCGCGUAGGCGGACCCAAAAGUCCGGGGUGAAAUCGUUCGGCUUAACCGGACAAUUGCCUUGGAUACUGUGGGUCUCGAGGGAGGUAGGGGCAUGCGGAACUUCCGGUGGAGCGGUGAAAUGCGCAGAUAUCGGGAGGAACACCAGUGGCGAAGGCGACUACCUGGCCUGUUCUUGACGCUGAGGCGCGAAAGCUAGGGGAGCAAACGGG
rnacentral:rRNA from 1 species